AGGAAUAGGAAAGGAGUGGGGAAGAGGAAGGAGAAGAGGAUGAAGAGAUGGAUUUUGAGAAAGACGAUUGAACUUUUUUUUAAGGAUUGUAAUUUAGGAUAAUUUUUAUUUUAUUAUUUUAGGAGUAGGAUUAAUCGUAGACUUUUAUAUUUUAUUGUCUUUUUUGUUUUAAAAUUUUCCAUGUAGGAACCUCACAUGAAAGAACCAUGACAUUUUCAAGCUUAC
rnacentral:lncRNA from 1 species